rnacentral:rRNA from 1 species
GAUGAACGCUGGCGGCGUGCUUAACACAUGCAAGUCGAACGGUGAAGGCGGAGCUUGCUCUGCUGGAUCAGUGGCGAACGGGUGAGUAACACGUGAGCAAUCUGCCCCUGACUCUGGGAUAAGCGCUGGAAACGGCGUCUAAUACUGGAUACGAGCUGCGAAGGCAUCUUCAGCAGCUGGAAAGAAUUUCGGUCAGGGAUGAGCUCGCGGCCUAUCAGCUUGUUGGUGAGGUAAUGGCUCACCAAGGCGUCGACGGGUAGCCGGCCUGAGAGGGUGACCGGCCACACUGGGACUGAGACACGGCCCAGACUCCUACGGGAGGCAGCAGUGGGGAAUAUUGCACAAUGGGCGAAAGCCUGAUGCAGCAACGUCGCGUGAGGGACGACGGCCUUCGGGUUGUAAACCUCUUUUAGCAGGGAAGAAGCGAAAGUGACGGUACCUGCAGAAAAAGCGCCGGCUAACUACGUG